GGUCUUAUGGUCUAGCGGUCAUGACUGUGGAUUUUGACAUCUUGUUUGGAAUCUUCCACCGACCCCGGUUCGAACCCGGGUAAGACCU
rnacentral:tRNA from 1 species